rfam:Oryza glaberrima chromosome 5 Oglab05_0128_22, whole genome shotgun sequence.
AAUAAGUGUAGUCGAUUAGUUUCAGCGCUCAACUUUAACUUUGAUCGUUCGUUUUAUUUAAAAAAAUUUUAUAAUAAACAUUUUUGUUGUUAUAAAGUAAUAAAACAUAAAUAGUAUUUUACUCGUGACUUAUGUUUUUAAUUUUUUUAAAAAAAAUUUAAAUAAGACGAAUGGUUAAAGUUAGACGCGGAAAACCAUGGCUGCACUUAUU